GGAUUUCGCGCGGCCAUUUCUUUCGCGUCACGCACGACGUACUAAACGAAAGAGGGACUACUCGUAGUCUAUAUGAUAUUCGGCGACCGGUGCUGGGUAGAGUUUCCACAUGUAGCACACUUACUCCACGCACUCCACGUGUAAACACAGUUGAAGGGACAGCAGUCCGUAUUGCAUAUUUUCGUUUCUAGCAAACGGUAAUGGCAACUCCUUCCACAAUAUUCCGUGGUCGUUUUUGUCCGCGUGCGCGAAGUUAACCCACCGCCGCACGAUCGAGUGCAUGUAUUCCAAGUGCUCCAGGCGCUCACCCUGUAGUUGACGGGGGAACAGCUUCGUCUUCGCCGACUACUCCACCACGCGUUUGAGGGCGUCAAAACAACAAGGAUAGUCCCUAUCACUAGAGUUACAGCAGCCCACCGCAUCAUGAAUCGAAUGGAACGGGUUUUUUUUCAAACGUUCGUUUUCGUGUAUCUAAGUUACGCGCUAGUCAGAAUUGAUUCCGCGUUUCAAUAAAGCUCUUCAAGCGGUGCUUUCCAGCGUUUAAUAUGUUGUGAUUUAAUAUCGAAUAUUCUCACUCCACCACGUAACAUGGGGUAAAGAGUUGCGAGAGAUGAUGUAUCAGUGUCUCUUUCGGUUUUGGUAUCCAUUUCGGCUUUUUGUCGGUUUUUUCCCUGUUUCAGCGUCCGGUUUUCGGUUUUUGGAUCUGAUAACGUGGUUUUCAGUUUUCAUUAUUUGCUUGGCUAGUUUCUAGGCUCUUUAUUUCAAUCCUUGUAACUUCACGUAGCACGUGUACCAUCUGUAGAUGACGCAACUGGAUCAGUUUACUGAAAGAGAGACCACUUCUUGUGCGGGUCUUGCAUUGCAACCAAAUUUGCUAGGGGUGUGUUCUACACGAAUCAGAAAAUAUUUUCGAUUUGGAGAUUGGAAUCAUCUCCUUUUCUAAAUGUAUAACUCAAAGUGUAAGGGAAUUGAUGUUAGUUUGCAUGUUCAAAUGAAGUUUUCGUGCACUUAUCACUUUAACUGAUACAUAAAUAAAACGACAUCUAGAUUGCCCUCUUGUUUUGAAAAAUCUACCAGUCGAGGGUUAAUAAAAGGGUACAGCCGGCAAUGAUUUCAAAUGAAAAUGUCUUAAUCUCUUUUCGUUAUCAUAUACCCUGGACCGCCUCCUCCUGACACAUUCCAGUGAUGGAAAAUAUAAAUGGCGCAUUCUCAUUUCAGUGGGAGGGAAAUUUUAGUCUGCAAAACAGUCGUUCUUCGCAUUCGGCUUGGCGCGAAGCACCAGGGGCGAGGCAUUGAUCUUCUCGCGAAGCGCGCGUGCAUGUGAGGCGUCUUUUAAGCGUCUUUCUCCGGAUUUUGCUCACGGUUUGCCACGGAUUGAUCACUCCGUAGCUUUCUUUUCUUGUUUGUUUUGUCAGUUAAAAGCUCCAAAGCUUUCGCUCAGAGACCGCGCGUUAAUUCGCGUAACAGUCAGAUAAAUAUGAUCCACCUCAAAUUAAAAUGUACAUAUUAAAAUCAUAUUCUUUUUUAGAUCUUCCCAGUUCGGUCUCCGGGAAUCGGUUCUUUUCGCAGCUAUACUUUUAGCUCAUUAAGACCCUACACUUCUGCCAAGUCGUAUUUUUUUUCCCUUGCAAUCUAUCCUGUCCCCUCCCCGUCACUCGAGCUAUCUCCCACUGAUCUUUGCGAGUUUAGUUCGUUCACGUGCUCCAGGAAACAUGGUGGAAAGUUUCGUGGAAAGUAACGUGUAGUCGGAGCCAGAAGGUGGAAUGUGGAGACGUUGAGUUUUUCACAACGUACGGUCCGCUCGCACUUGGUCAGGCUUUGAAAGAAGGUGAGAUUUUAACAGAAAACCAAGUGAUUCAGAGCCUCUAUAAUCAGCAUAUCGCAGUUGACAUGUAUCCUGAUCAGAAGCCAACAGGGACAGAGUGGACCAAAGCUUCGAGCAGUUAUAUUUAGAAGGAAUUAAUGUUUUAUUUUGCAAUCCAGCUUUUGGGUGAACCAGGUUAACAAAGCUCUCAAAUAAGCCAAGUUCUGUGCUAAUUACUUGAAUUCAGUCAUGCAAUGUAUUCUGCCAUGCCAUUGAUUGGCACAAUGAGUAAAAAGAGCUCUCAAAGAACGUUUUUUAACAAUACAGUUUCAAACCAUUAUCAUCAAUCAAACAAAAAUUGUUUAACUGUUCUGGAGCCAAAAUUAUUGUAAAAGUUCAAACAUGCAUUGUACUUGAGAUGUUUCCCCAGACUAAGGUGACGUGUUGCUGAGUGACGAAUUUACUGAACUAAUUGACUGGCUGAUUGAUUGACUAAUAAUUUUUCUGAUUGGCAAACUAAAUCUUACAGCAAGAAUGAUUAUUUGACUGAGGAACUGAUGCUGAUUUUAUGUGUAGAGAACAUAUUCAAUAUGUUUGUCAAACAUAAAAUCAGCGUCAAUAAUUGGCUGAGUCCUUGAGUAGUAAACUGAUUGACAAACUAGUUGAAAAACCUGCCUACACCUGUAGCAAGCUUAUUGAGAUUGAAAGACCAGCUAUUUUACUGCUGAACUGAUUAACAGACUGAAUAAGGUACUGAUUGAGAUUGAUUACCAUUGUGAUAUAUGAUUGAUAAUGAUAAAUGACUGGAUGUACUGACUCACUGACUCACUUACGCACUGAUUCACUGAUGCUCUGAUGCACUGACGCACUGAUGCACCGAAACACGGACACACUAAGGCACUGACUCACUCACCCAUUGACUCACUGAUCCACUGACUCACUAACUCACUGACUGACUCAAUGACUGGCUGACUGACUGAUGGACAGUCAGACAGAUGGAUGAAAGAAUAGACCAACUGACUGACUGUCUGACUGAUGGAUUGACUGACAUGUUUUGACAAACUGAUUGGUGAAUUACAUGUACCUGUAAUUGGCAAUUUACAUUUAUCAUGCCAAUCAACAGUAACUGACAGGCAGAUGAUUGGCAUACUAAAUUAAGGUUGAAGACCAAAUAAACUUAAUUUGUAUCAAACCGAUUGGCUGAUUUGAGAAAAGGUGUGAAUGAACCUGCUGACAGACGGACAGCAUGACAAAUAAACAGAGAGACAGACACACAGACCUGUCAGACAAAGAGAUAGACUGAUGGAUGGAUUGACUGACCAACAAACACAACUGACUGGCAAACUAACCGACAAACCUAAGUUUAAAUUCAGUUUUAUGAGAGCCUCUGUCUAUUCGUGUGGGUACUGUGGGCUGUUUACAGCCUCUCUCUUUUCUUAGAAGACUUUGGAGUGGACAUGAAACUGAAGAAUACCAGGCAAAGCAAGUGACUUUGAAAGCUCACUCUCAGGGCUUACAAGGGUGCUUGCUUUACUUGUGAUUCUUCAGUCUUUUGUGCCUGCCACAGUCUUGUUAGGAAAUAGAGACUGUAACAGUCUACACAUGUGAUCUUGGUAUAGAACAUUGCAUGUCUGAGUUAUUUAUUAGUACAGUUGAACCCCCGUAAAUGACCACCUUGUGUAGAGUGACUAUUGAGAGUUACAAGUGUAGUAGAUACAUGACUAAGUUUAAAGUUCGCAAAAUCGUUUUGUGCAGCCAAAUUAUUUGAAGUGAAAUCUAUCAAUGUAAGCACCCCGUUAGCUUAGCAAAGUGUACAGGAGGUUGGGUAUGGGUGGUUCAACUGUAUAUUUACUGUAAACAUUGAUGGGUACGUAUUUCAGAACAUUUUCCUUGCUUUUCCUCCGCCGUACCGUUGAAAUCUUGAGCAAACGCAUGGUUAAGAUUGAAGCAACAUUUUUUUCUCGGAAAAUAGAGAGCCAAUCCAGUUUACCAUUGCGUGACCAAUUUAACUUGUUUUACUAAAAGAACGUAAUGAUGUCACGCAAGACAAGAAUUCAGAAACGCAAGUAUCUACCGAAGUGUUAGUCUUGAUCCAGUGUUUUAUGAUAGCAGUUAUUUGGAAACCAGUCUUGAGAGCAAAUCAGUGUUGAGGUUUUGAAAAACGUACUGAGUCAGUCCCAAGAGUGAUGAACAUACUAUUUCUCCUUACAACAUUUACAGAUUUCCAAUUAGACAGGUGAUGAGAACAAAUAAAAUCAUCAACUCGAAAUAGGUUUGAUGUACCACCAAAUUCUCAAAACUAACAUCCAAGCACUAAUUAGUAAGGAGAAUUAAUAUGUUCAUCUUUGGACUGUUAUGUUUACAGUAAUCAAGGAUUUGAUAGAACUUAACAGUACGAUUGAAGAGUGGUUUUAGUAAAUGGUUUGUUUCUGUAACGCCAUGGAUACAUUUAAAAUUUAAUUUGGAGUUGAAAAACAACUCAGCACAAAUUCCUUCGUCUUGGGAUCGUCACGCAACUGGGCGCGAAAAAACGUCACACUUGCCCUUUUGCGUGACGAGCUCAAAAAGGGUUUGGAAGAUAGCUAUGUAACUCAGGCUUUGGAUUGUAUCUCUCGGGUUUUGGAAUGCUUAAAAGAAGUAUCUGUGGCGUACGUUGGCAUGAGAAAUGAGCUGUUUACUAAAACUAAGCUAUAACCUUGCUGCUAAGUUUUCUUGAGACCUCUCCAGAACUUGGCUUAUUUUAGAGAGUUCAUCUGGUUCACUGAAGCGGUUGGAUUGCAAAAUAAAACAACACGGGAGGAGAGAUAACAAUAUUUUAUUGAAAUAAAAGUUGUCUGACUUGUCCAUUAUUUAAAGUUAAAAAAAUAAAAUAAAAAAGAAUCUAGCCAAUCUUGUCCCUGCUUUUGGGUUGCUUCCACUCUGCCCGAGAGUCGAUGUUGUUUCUUUUGUCCUCAUUCAAUAUUCCAACUUUAAAAUCCUGGUCUGUUUUAUCUGAUGCCCUCAUCCAAGCCGGGGACAGUUGAACACUUGAAAGAGUAGACCGUUUGCUCCCAAGUGGGGUGGACAGCGUAAAGCAAAGUGAGAGUUUGCUCCCCGUGUCUUUGGGGUCUCAGUCUUAGUUUGUCACAAUGCCACACGAGUGAUUUUGGAAUUGAUCAGUGGAAAAAAAUUAACAUGCCAAUUUGUAAUUUGAUUGAAGAUGCUAAUCCGCAAUUCAAUGCAUCGAAAAAAAAUUAAUAAUUUGCCAAAGUGGCAGUAAAUUUAGUAAGCUCGCCCUACCCGAAAAUUUUAGAUAAAACCCUAUUUGAAUGGGAAAUGUCCGCAACCUGGACAAGAAAAACAGGAGCGCUAAAGAACGGCGCCCAAUUUCAGUGCAUAACCGUUGAAAUCAAGGAAAGAAUUGAACUCAGAAUCCUCCAGUCUGACUUCCCGACCAAACCACCGGCAGACCGUCAUUCCACAAACUUCAGCAAAGAGCACAAGUCGCUAAACGUCUCUCAUCAGUGAAGAUACCGAUGUCAAGUUUCUCUCUUUAAUUUGGAUGAAAGAAAUUGGCCGACAUUUAUAUUUAUAUGUUGAAAAAGGUUCAGUCAUGUUUAAUGAAUACAGAAUAUUGCAAAAGGUUUAAGUUAAUUAGGCGCAUUCAGCUUGUUUGUUUAUUGCCCCGUUUCACAUCACGUGAUGUAACCCUGGAGAGUUAUUUCUUUCAAAUAUAAACCGUAUUCCCGAGCGAAUGAAUGAAUAAUUUUUACAAGACAAUUCUCCUGAGAGCAUCCGUGAUCUGAAACCAGCAAUUAACAUACGAAGCUGACAGGGUUUGCUCUUUUGAAAAAUUGAACGAAACAUACCCAUGUAGGUCGAACUGCUCCUGAUAGUUUCAAACAUUUGGAAGUCAGUGUGCGUUUACGUUAUGCGUUAAAUUAAAGUCCCGCUCAAAUUAAAUAUUAAUGCGCUCAAAGAUUCAUUCCAUAAAAGCCAAAAGUAUAAAUUUGUUACCUAAUUUUGUUGUGAUUUUUUUUAAUUGGCCGAGUUUUGACUUGAAAUAGUUCAAAAAUCUAGCUUGACUUGAUGUCUUCUUUUAUAGUACGAAAAAGAUCAAAAGUAAUUGGAUAUUCCCAUUUAGAGAGAUAGCAACGUCCUUCGAAACCGUGACCUGCGGUGUCAUGCAAGGUCUCUGUUGAUCAAACAUUGGGUGACAAAUGAAAUAAGAGAAUUUUAGUGGUUUUGUUGAAUUUUGGUGGAAAUAGGGAGAAAACCCCUGGAAAAAAUCGAGCCCAGUUAGCAAGCACUAACCGACAGUGUUUAAACUAAAUUUAAGAAUGACGAAAUGCUAUAUUGAUUUAAUUUAUAUUUAUAAAACUUAUAUUUUAUAUUUAAAUUCAAAGAGAAGCAAAUUACAAUUUUGGUGAAUAGUUUUUAAUCCCUAUUUGAUUACCCGUGUUGUUUAUAAAUUGAGCUAUUGAAACUGCUUAAAGUGAUGAUCAUUGGAAGAUGUUUCAGGAUUCCCCUUCAUCAACAGACUGAUUAGCCGUUACAUGAAACACUGUAAUUCCUCAAACACCUAAAAUAUAUCUGCUUGUCAUCACUAGCUGAUUAACAAAAAAGAAUGAUUCAACGGACCAUUUUCGUAUUCUCGGUAUUGGACUGGAACUACCUUGCAAGUGAGGCUAAUGCGGGGAGUCUUUUCAAAUGCAAAUGAUAUUAUUCUAUGUUUAAUGAUAUCCCCCCGCAUGAGCCUCUAUUGCAAGCUAGUUCCAGUCCAAUACCGAGAAUACGAAAAUGGUCUAUUCAACGAUCCAGAAACUUUGGGAGACUGGCCACCAACUGUCAGCACUAGGAUUUCUAGGAUAUUUUGGGGAACUAGUGCAAGAUGUGAUUAGUUUUUGGUAACCAAGGUAACCUUUGACCAAUCAUGGCUCAUGUUGGCAACCAAAGCAAUUCAGAAUUCCUAAUGCCGAAAGUUGGUGCCUAGUCUUCUAAAGUCUCUGGAGUGGCAAACUAAUGAAGGUUACUUUCUGGAAAAUUGAAAAUUAUAAGCUAUAGUUUGCGUGAAAAUGAAAAUAGAGAAUGAGAAUUAUUAAGCUGUGUGAAAGUAUUUAAAGAGGGAAAUGAGAAAAGUCUCAGAAAUAAAUUUAACAAGAAAAUACUCUGUUUCAAAAAAAUCUGCUUUGUUUAUAAUUUGACCUAUAGAAUUUAAAUUUUUAGCAAUUUAUUUUUAAAGUUUAGAUUUUAAAAAUCCUAGAAAAGAGAGAAAACCGGACCCAGCAGCAACCCAAUCAGAGAGACCCCCAGUGACCGUUAGCUCAAUUUGAUGUCAUUUGUAAAAAUCCAAUCAAGUCAGACCAAUGAAAUUCAGUGCUCUCCUCUGUCCAUGCUUUCUCUAGAGAUGCACCUUCCUUGGGUCCCACAAUUCAGCACUCCUGUUUUACGUCCUUGAUUGUGGAACAUUUCCUGAUACACUGACUGCAAAAAAGCAUCUUGCCAGGCCGAAAAAUGCCGAAUUGAUGGUGUAGUAUUGUGACAAAUUAAGUGAAACCCUAAAGACAUGAAAAGCAAACUCUCACCUUCCUUCAUGCUGUCCACCCCACUUGAGAGCAAACGGUCAACACUUCUAAGUGUCCAACUCUCCCCAGCUUGAAUUACAGGAUCAGAUAAAGUUUCCCAGGAUUUCUCAGUUGGAAUAUUUGAGAGGACAUCAGAAACACACACCUUCUCAGAGACAGAGCUCCCACAACCCAGCAGGGACGUGAUUGGCUAGAUUUGAAUAUGACCACCUUGGUCUUGGUGUGUGUGCCACCUUCUGUCCUGGAAUUAAACCAUAACCUAAAAACUUUAGUAGAUACAUGCAAGCUCACUAGCAGUACAAAUACCUAAUAAAGAAAAAUGGCUCUUUCCUGGUGACACAAGCACAGAAAAAAACGAGAUUGAAACCUUAAGCUAAACAGGCUGUGCUACUUAGCAAGAAAGUCCUACAAGGUUAAAAAAGCCAGUUCUGAAAAAAAAAACCUAUAACUUAAUUGUGAAGCAAAUUAACUGAUGAAAAUGUCUAAAGGAAACCUAAGCAUGCAUUCAAAAUAUAAUGACUUGCAAAACCAAGAAAGAACCAAGAAAUUCAUGCAAAGCAAAUUAAAAUAUAUUGAUGUUCAUCACCAGUCUGCAUUAUGAAAUUCAUUACCACUGUGAUCAUUUUUAUGACGCUUAGUUAAAGUUUGUUCCUACUUAGACGAGAGCAUCACGAUACUGUUUCUAGAUUAAAAUAAAAGGAACAUUAAAGAAACUAGCAAAACUUACGGUUAAAAAUGCAGACUGUUGAUCUAACUUUGUCUUACCUUAGAUAUUAAAUGUUAUUAUAGCCAAGAAUAAUUGAGAAAUCAAAAGUAAAAUUUAAAAAAAUCGGAAAACAAAAACAGCCCUAAUCCAAAACAAGUCCUAGUAAAUGACUUACGUGUACACGAAAAUUAAAUUUUGCCAAUUCUAAAUGGUGGUUCUCUUUUAUAAAGAACCUUUUGUUUUCAUAUGGUUGCCCUUCAAAAACGUUUUAAGUGUUGGCUUAAGGCCAAAACAUUCACCUUAAUGAAACGUUUAGUACGUCUUGAAUGUAAUAAAUGACGUCAAGUACUAGGUAAAUAUGACGGGUGGCAAAAUAAGACUGUCAUUACACCUUACAGCUAAUAAUUGCAUCUUCUGUGGUGCUUGAAAAGUAUUAAUUUUCUGCCUGCCUGUGUAAUUUCAAUCUGAGCUAAUGAGCUUGCAGAUCCACCAAUGUACAAAGUAAACUAAUAUAACCAAAGGAAGCAUUAGCAAUAAUUUUACAAAUUGUGAAUGAAAAAUACCUGUUAGAGUAUCUUGAGAUUAUUCAAGUUAUAAUUAAAAAUGCUUCCCUUGAUACAACCACCAUCAAGCUGCCCAAGCAAAUGAAAAUCGACAUUGAAGGUGAAUGAAAAAAGAAUCACUUUUAAUAACUGACUUCUUGGAAUUUGCUACCAAAAUACAGUGAAAACAAAGAUUAUUUUAAGAUUUUCAAAAACUACAGUAUGAGGCAGCAUGAUGCUGAUUUUUGUUAAAUAUUUUACUAUAAAGAAAUACACUAAAAUAACCAAGUAAUCAUUUAGCAAGCUUUCCUCUGAGCAGCGAAAGGGAGGGGGACUGAGGAGUGAAGUACGUGCCAGCUAUAAAUUCUAAGAGUUCUCAGUUCCCCCUAACAUAAAUUUAUCAUAACUUGUAAUGAAACACACUCCUUGACUGAAGCUAAAUAGUGAAAAACUGGGUGUCCUGAAGCCCUCUAAUAUCAAAUCAAAUUUGCAGAAAGUUACUCAAUGUAAUUCCCAUUUUUUCUUUUAGACUAAGAAUGAUACCUGGUUAGUAUGUACCCAAUUAAAUGGGAGUUGUCAAGCAGUUAUCAUGACUGGCUUACUCUCUGUUUUUCCUUACUAAGUUAACCAGAACUCGGCAAAUUUCUGAAGUUUGGGACUAUCUUUCUUUAAGUUCAAAAUUUUAGUUUCAAGGAAAAUAAUAUUAAUUUACUGUGCUUUAUGUCUUUCUUUUGUUUUGUAAAUAACGCGAAUUUUGAAUUGAAGAAAUAAACUCUUGACAUUUAGUUGAAAGUGAGUUUGUUGUGCUAAUCUUUGCUUGAUCCUUUCUGAACAAUAAUUACUAACUACGACUUCAAGAGUAAAAGGGUUAAGGGUAAAAGAAAACCACUGUUCAAAGGAGUCUUGUGCUGGAACAUUCAAACCUAACUCAAAUGGAACAAACAAGUGCAAGUAGAGUAAUAUUUACAGUUCAGUGUAUUCAAAUCAGCCAGAUGGAAUGGGUGAAAAAUGAAAAUAAUAUAAUUUCAUGAUUAACUGGUUUACUCCAUGGAGUCAGAGGUCUUUACUGCAGAAUGUAAUUCUCUAUAGGAUAAGCAUGCAUACAACAGCAAGAAAUCCCUGCGAAUGAGUUGGUGGUUGGGCAUGGUAAAGUGUACUAUUUUAUUCUUUUAUGACGCAGUCAUUCACUUAGAAUGUAGAUCUAUAACAAUGUUUUGUCAACCUUCUGCUAGCCCUCACCUCACCAGAUGAAGACUAGCAGUAAGUAGCCAGAACAUUGUCAUCUACAUCCCAAGGAACUACAUCAUGAGCAAAACAACAAUGACACCUCUAACUCCAAUCAACAACCGAGUUACUUAUGUUCAUAUAACAUGUACUACUUGGGUGAGAAUCAGCCGGAAAAUUGAAUUUUUUUUUUUUAAAAAAAGCACUUGUUUGAACAAUGGCGGCACACACACCUACAUGUAAUAAUCUUACUAUCUUUCCCUUAAUGCUCAUUGCUAAAGUGACAAGACUAUGACUUGCAUUGAUGAUGUGGUUUGUAUAGUUUGGACUGUUUGUAAUGUUUGACUGAUGCACCACGUCCAGUUAGUCAGCUGUAGUUGGUUAGUUCAAGUAUGAGAGGCAGUCUCUUCUUAGCCUGUCAUGUAAUUUGGUUUUAAGUCUACCAUGAAGAACUGGUGUCAGGUCUCUGACGUCUUAGUGCAUCUAUUUUGUAGUGGUAGUUGGUCAUGUUCACAAUACUGGUAGCACUUUGAUAGCAUGUCAAUGUGUUGUUGAGUUGUUCAGGUGAAGGUGCAGGUAGUAGUUGGUGUCAGAUGUUGUCAGUUUCUAUCCAUCUGCUAGUCAGGUUUGUGUUGGUUCUGUUUGCAGGAAAAUUAAAUUUGUUGGUUGGUUUGUUAAGGUCAUAAGUAAGUCACUUACAAGGUGCAAGUAGUCGUUGAUGCACUGGCUCUGUUUCAAGUUAGUUUAUUGGUUGGUUUGUUGUAGUCAUGAAUAACAUUUGUAAGGUGAUAGUAGUUCCAGCAUCAGAUUUUGUCAGUUUUAAUCCAGCUGAAGUCUGUAUAUGCCCAUGUAUUGUCGGUCUGUCAAAUCUACACUGGUUCUGUUUGAAGUUCAAGUAUGUUUGUUAGUUUGUUUAGGUCAUGAACAAGUCAUUUGUAAGGUGCAGGCAGUUCUUGGCAUCAGAUAUUCACAGUUUCAAUCCACCUAUGUUCUGUCAAAUCUAUGCUGGUUAGAACUGUUUGAAGUUCAAGUUUGUUUGCUGGUUGGUGGAGGUCAUGAAUAAGUCAUUUGUAAGGUGAAGGUAGAGGGUUUGUCAGUUGUAAUCCAUCUAAUAUGUACAUGUACAAGUAUUGUUAGUCAAUUAAAUUUGCACUAGUUCUGUUUGAAGUUGUCAGUCUCAAACUAAUUGUUAGUGGGCAAAUCUUAACUGUUUCUGCUUGAUGUUAAAGUUUGUUGGUUUGUUUGAUGAGGUCAUGAAUGAGUCAUCUGAAUGGUGCAGGUAGUCAUCUUUGCAUCAGCUGUACAAUGUAACAUGUUCCUUUUGAAAUUAAUGUUCGUUAGUUGCUUUGUUGAGGUAGUUGUUUGUGAGGUGCAAGUAGUUUGGGAUGGCAGUAUGUUUUUGUUAGUCUCAAUUUGUCUAAUUAUGUACAAGUAGAAGCAUUGUUAGUUGGCCGAAUCUACACUGGUUCUGUUACAUGUUGGUUUGUUGAUGUCAUCCCACCAUACAAAUGCAAGUAGUCUGCCAAAUGUUUAUUACAAAAGCCUAGUCAAAGACUACAAAGCUAAAAUUAAAGCAAUAAGCAGGUUAUCUGAACUGGGGUUGUGGAACAACAGCUGGGUGAAAAACCUCCCCGUACGUCCACUUGCCCCUAGGAGGAAAACCCCGGGCCAGCUGUACCCCAUGUUCAAAGGCCUCCUGGGCUGGGCC
rnacentral:lncRNA from 1 species